GAGCCACAAGAUGAGAUCCACUUGGAGGCUCAGCCCAUAAGUGCCCUGCUCAGCUGAUAUCUGAAAAGGACCAGGUCUCCAUUGAAAACCUUUCUGAGGAAUCUCUCAUCUCCAUAGAAGAGCUGGUUUUUGCAGAGGAUGAUAUGAUCAAAUCCACCAGGAGACCAAAGCAUCAAAGGGCCGAGCUGCUUCACCCCAUCCCCCAGGAAGACACCCCAUCCUCCCAGUCAGAAGAGACUACCGAGCUCACUCCCAGGGCAGCAACCACCACAGAAGGAAAACUGGCCAAGCUGGGCCAUAAAAUCAGGAAGAAUCUGGACAAAACAGUGAAAGAAACCAUGAGCUAUCUGAAAAGCCUACUACCUCAUGCCUAUGAAGUCCUAAGGCCCUAAGGAUAACAAGGCCCAGUCCUGGCCAAACCCAAACCCUGCGCACCCAGACCACCAUCUCUCAGCUCCCCACAUCCGUCAUUAAAGCGUCGCAUCCUGGUC